GAAAUUAUGUUGAUUUAAUUCACAAUUUUAAUAAUAUAAAUUUCCUCUUUAAUUUUACAAGUUACCAGUACCAUCUAAUUCAGGUUUUUCCUAUUUAGGGAGCAUUUAUAAAUGUGUACAAUUAGGAGAAUAUGUUUAAUUUUCUUUCCAUUUGUCUUGAAUAGGAAUUGGGAUUAAAAGGAUAGUAAAAGGAAUAAUUUUUAGACCUCUGUAAAUGCCCAAGAAACAUAGUGUUUUUCUUUGGCUUCAAGUAAUAAAAUAUUUGUUUAUUAUGAGUGGUUUAAAAUGUAAUCAUUUUAAAACAACCUCCUAAUUAUAAAAUCCAUUUCCAUAGAUUUUAACUCCAACACUCAUCAAUUGAUUAUGAUUUUCUCACCCGUAAAAGCAUUAAGCAGAUAUUACUGAACAAUAUUCCUAAAUCAUCUAUAUCUCAAAGUCAACAAGGUCAUAGUAAUAGAUCUAAAAUUUAAAACCUACUAAUGUUCAGAUGGCACAUCAAACUUCCAUGGAAUUGAUAAUCUGGGACAACAAAUUCUAUUCACCAAACUAAACACAAACAUUCUCACCACACGUGACAAAUAUUUCUGAAAUGAUAGUGCUAACUAACCAGAAGUGGGUCUAAUAAGCUCAAAUUGUAUAAAAGAAAAUAAAACAAUUUGAUAAGUAAAAAACAAAACACAAUGCUUCAACUGUAUAAAUCACUUUUAGAAAAAAUGGAAAUAACAGUUGAGCAACAACCCCCAACAAUAAGAAGACAGCACUGUGGAUAUAAACGAUACAGAGAAAUCAGGGUUCCACCAGAUGGCUAUUGUACCUAGAACUUAGAAGAAACACUACGUGCUGUAAUAUUUUUUUCAAUAAGACAUAAAUGCUUAAAAUCAGCACAUAAAGAUCAAGAGUUGUUCAAUUACCACUGCGAACUCAACAAAAGCAAUGCGUGUUGAAUGAUGAUAAUCCCCAAGAAGCCUCAAGCGAUGAACCUCUCCACAAAGUGAUUCAAAGAAGAGUUUGACAUCUGCCUGG
rnacentral:misc_RNA from 1 species